rnacentral:rRNA from 1 species
GACGAACGCUGGCGGCGUGCUUAACACAUGCAAGUCGAACGGUAAGGCUCCAGCUUGCUGGGGUACACGAGUGGCGAACGGGUGAGUAACACGUGGGUGACCUGCCCUGCACUUCGGGAUAAGCCUGGGAAACUGGGUCUAAUACCGGAUAGGACCGCACCGUGAGGGUGUGGUGGAAAGUUUUUUCGGUGUGGGAUGGGCCCGCGGCCUAUCAGCUUGUUGGUGGGGUAAUGGCCUACCAAGGCGGCGACGGGUAGCCGGCCUGAGAGGGUGGACGGCCACAUUGGGACUGAGACACGGCCCAGACUCCUACGGGAGGCAGCAGUGGGGAAUAUUGCACAAUGGGCGGAAGCCUGAUGCAGCGACGCCGCGUGGGGGAUGACGGCCUUCGGGUUGUAAACUCCUUUCACCAUCGACGAAGGGUUCCCGACGGUAGAUGGAGAAGAAGCACCGGCUAACUACGUGCCAGCAGCCGCGGUAAUACGUAGGGUGCGAGCGUUGUCCGGAAUUACUGGGCGUAAAGAGCUCGUAGGUGGUUUGUCGCGUCGUCUGUGAAAUUCCGGGGCUUAACUCCGGGCGUGCAGGCGAUACGGGCAUAACUUGAGUACUGUAGGGGAGACUGGAAUUCCUGGUGUAGCGGUGAAAUGCGCAGAUAUCAGGAGGAACACCGGUGGCGAAGGCGGGUCUCUGGGCAGUAACUGACGCUGAGGAGCGAAAGCAUGGGGAGCGAACAGGAUUAGAUACCCUGGUAGUCCAUGCCGUAAACGGUGGGCGCUAGGUGUGGGUUUCCUUCCACGGGAUCCGUGCCGUAGCUAACGCAUUAAGCGCCCCGCCUGGGGAGUACGGCCGCAAGGCUAAAACUCAAAGGAAUUGACGGGGGCCCGCACAAGCGGCGGAGCAUGUGGAUUAAUUCGAUGCAACGCGAAGAACCUUACCUGGGCUUGACAUAUACAGGAUCGCGCCAGAGAUGGUGUUUCCCUUGUGGCUUGUAUACAGGUGGUGCAUGGUUGUCGUCAGCUCGUGUCGUGAGAUGUUGGGUUAAGUCCCGCAACGAGCGCAACCCUUGUCUUAUGUUGCCAGCACGUUGUGGUGGGGACUCGUAAGAAACUGCCGGGGUUAACUCGGAGGAAGGUGGGGAUGACGUCAAAUCAUCAUGCCCCUUAUGUCCAGGGCUUCACACAUGCUACAAUGGUCGGUACAGUGGGUUGCCAGUCCGUGAGGGCGAGCUAAUCCCGCAAAGCCGGUCUCAGUUCGGAUCGGGGUCUGCAACUCGACCCCGUGAAGUCGGAGUCGCUAGUAAUCGCAGAUCAGCAACGCUGCGGUGAAUACGUUCCCGGGCCU